AUAACCAAUGGACAAACAUAAAAUCUACUUUUUUUUUCUUCUGAAAGUUUUAUCCUAACACCAAAGAGUGGGUGACUUUUGAUAUUGAAGACUGUUGUCUUUUGUUUCUGUCUGUAUAACAUUAAAAAACAAAUAAAGCAUGAGAAAAUUUGAUUGCCCCGUGAAGAUAUUUUUUUUAUAUUUGGUCUUGAAGAUAUUAGAAACAAAUAAGCUAUUCAAGAAAAUUGUAUUCUACUGAAAAAUUAUAAGCUGAUGGGGAAGAAAAGGUUUCAGAGAGAGAAAGAAUCGUCAGUGACGGCGACGGUAGGAGAAGCUUCAUCUCUGUUGGGGUCUCAGACGGCAAGGAGACGAAGAGGAAGGCCGAGGAAGAAUCUUGAGGGUCCUGAAAAUUCCAAGAAGGAAGAAGACGAAGAUUACGAGGAGUACGAGUACGAAGAAGAAGAAGAUGACGAGCAAGUUGAGAUUGUUAACAGAGAGAAACUGAAGAAGAAGAAGGUUAGAAGUAGCCAUAGCGUGGAAGAAGGGCAAAAGUGGAAACGUGAAGAACUAGCUGAAGAGGAGGAGAAGCCGGAUAUGACGGUGAAGACGGUUGCACCGCUGUCAUAUAGACGGUCCAGGAGGAAGAACACACCGGUGAAAAGCUGGAGUAACUUGUAACACUGAAGUUGACCAAAAAAACAAAGGCAGACAUUAGCUUACUUCCUCUCUUAAGCUACAACAGCCUGUGGUUUAGGGUGAUGAUGCCUUUCCUUCUUGUAACGCAACUGCUCUGGAUCAAACCCACCUUCCUCUGCUCCAUAAACUGCCCAUGAUGGUGUUUCAGCCAUAUAGUCCCUACUCGUGAACGGUUCUCCAGAAGCCACCUAUACGGAUUCAUUAACGAGUGUCAGUAAAAGUUAGCAUGAAAUCUUGAGUUUGAUCUGGUUUAACUAACUAACCAGAUCGUGGAACUUUUCAUAGUCGAUCCAGGUGAACCACUUCCCAUCCACUUUGAACUUGUCGGUUCUCCCUAGAAGAACACAGCAAGAAUGGGCGUGCUCGCAAGCAACCUCGUACUCUCCAUUGCUCUUCAGAGACAGAGCUUCUGAGAAUGCUUUAACAUCCGCGUGCCAUGAAUGGAGAACAAGUGAAACACACUCACGAUCCACAAUAUGUGACGCCUUUGAUCUCGAUGAAGUCAGGUUUCCCGAUGUUGAAGAGAUUGAAAUAAGCUUCUAGCUCUUCUGUGUUCCAUCCUUUGACGAGUGUUAAACGGUAGACUGUUCGUUGUUGUUUCUCCUGGAGAGCUUUCAAGGAGUC